UUUCCGUAGGUGAACCUGCGGAAGGAUCAUUACAGAGAACAUCGCCCUUACGGGUGACUCUCCAACCCUAUGUUAUUAUACCUUUGUUGCUUUGGCGAGCCGCCUCGGCCACCGGCUUACGCUGGUGAGUGCCUGCCAGAGAACCCCAAACUCUGAGUUUAAAUAUCGUCUGAGUACUAUAUAAUAGUUAAAACUUUCAACAACGGAUCUCUUGGUUCUG
rnacentral:misc_RNA from 1 species